rnacentral:tRNA from 1 species
GGAGGGAUGGCCGAGUGGUUUAAGGCGGCGGUCUUGAAAACCGUUGAGGCUCGACAGGGUCUCCGUGGGUUCAAAUCCUACUCCCUCCGCCA